rnacentral:rRNA from 1 species
UACGAAGGGGGCUAGCGUUGUUCGGAAUCACUGGGCGUAAAGGGCGCGUAGGCGGCCGAUCAAGUCGGGGGUGAAAUCCUGGAGCUCAACUCCAGAACUGCCUUUGAUACUGGAAAGCUUGAGUUCGGGAGAGGUGAGUGGAACUGCGAGUGUAGAGGUGAAAUUCGUAGAUAUUCGCAAGAACACCAGUGGCGAAGGCGGCUCACUGGCCCGAUACUGACGCUGAGGUGCGAAAGCGUGGGGAGCAAACAGG